CACCAGGAGCCGAGCAGAUGUUGGUGCCAUGCUUGUACAGCCUGUAGAACCAUGAGCCAAUUCAACCUCUUUUCUUUAUAAAUUACCCAUAGCAAUAUGUAAACCAUAUUUAGAGAAACACAAACAAGGCCAGCAUGAAUGUAGCAUUGAGAACUACUUAUUAUUCAGUCAUUGAUUGACCUUGAUAGUAUUUAUCUAAACAAAUUGAAGGUGGAAGUCAAAAAGCUUGAGUUGUAUGGUUAUAGUACUAUGGGAGAGUAGAGCUAAUUAAGCUAUUCAAAAGUAGGUAAUAUCAUUUCAGAAUAAGAAUAUGGCCUGGAAAUCUGAAAUGAUGGAAAGAGGCAUACCUCUGAAGAACUCAUUGGGAGUAAUACAGUGGAGAAGCCCAACUGACUGCUGAACUGAAUAGGUGUUUCAGGAAGGAGAGCCUGGGAAGAGGACAAGUCAAGAGCCUGUUUACAUAUUUCAGGGAGAACUGGUUAAUCCUCCCCCAGGGACCUACUCACAGUCUGUUAAACCUUAAAAGAACAUUUCAUGGGGGCUUUCGAGACUGCUGCACUCAAAGGGGCACAUUGAUGGAAGCUCCUUAUGCUCUGAACUGA
rnacentral:lncRNA from 13 species